CUCACAAGAAAAUUCUGCACCUGGUGGAAGUGCUGGCUGAAGUACCUAAGUACCACCAGACCAUCAGGGUUUGUCGAUUCCCUACUUCUUGGCCAGAGGUAAGGAACAAGCCAUUCUCCUUUUCUUCUCCAUUGCUUCUGAUGACCUCUUCCCCUAAUCUCAACCUUCUCAACUCGUUCCUUUAAAUUUUGCCUCAAUCACUAUUUACAAUUCUUUAAAACACAAAAGGAAACCAUAUUAUGCAUUCUCACAUAAAGAUUUGGAGUAAUAUUGGGUACUGAGGUCAAGUGUCCAUAUUCUUCGUAGAAAUUUACCCUGUCUUUAGUUGUAGAGAGUUUGGAUUGUUUUGUCCUGAUGUAUGAAUUGCAUACAAUAUUUUGUCUUCAUCUGUUACUCAACUAGCUUUUAAGAUAAUUAUCUUUACUUAUCUGUACUAUUCAGAAAAUCUUAGAGGAAUGCUAGUCUAAUGUGUUAUAUUUAAAAUAUGUUUUAACCUUUAAGGGUACACUAUAGUCACCAGAACAACUACAGCUUAAUGUAGUUGUUCUAGUGAGUAUAAUAGUUACCUUCAGGCAUUUUCAUGUAAAUACUGCCUUUUCAGAGAAAUGGCA